GCCGCUGUCACCGGAGUUAUGAUCGCUGCUAGAGCUCGUCGGAGCCGUUGCGGUUUCCUUCCCCCACCUAUUCUCCAUUUUACUGUAAGGAACUGUGGUUGAGGCUGUGGUGUUGCGGGUAGUGGGAAAAAGAGUUAUGUCGCGUGGGUAAAUCGCAAUCGAGGGAUGGUGGUUUUGUCCCGCCUGCAGUGAGGAUGGUGGUUUUAUCC